rnacentral:rRNA from 1 species
UGCAGAAUCCCGUGAACCAUCGAGUCUUUGAACGCAAGUUGCGCCCGACGCCUUCGGGCUGAGGGCACGCCUGCCUGGGCGUCACGCAUCGCGUCGCCCCCUACACCAAUUUGGUGCGGGGGCGGAUAAUGGCAUCCCGUUAGCUCGGUUUGCCCAAAAAGGAUCCCUCAUCGACGGAUGUCACAACCAGUGGUGGUUGAAAGAUCAUUGGUGCCGUUGUGCUUCACUCCGUCGCAUGCUUGGGCAUCGUUACAAAACAAUGGUGCUAGCGCGCCUUCGACCGCGACCCCAGGUCAGACGGGACUACCCGCUGAGUUUAAGCAUAUCAAUAAGCGGUGGAGAAGAAACUUACAAGGAUUCCCCUAGUAACGGCGAGCGAACCGGGAAUAGCCCAACUUGAGAAUCGGGCGGCCACGCCG